rnacentral:rRNA from 1 species
CCUGGUGGCCAUUGCGAGGAGCCCCAACCCGAUCCCAUCCCGAACUCGGCCGUUAAACUCCUCAGCGCCGAUGGUACUAUGUCUCAAGACCUGGGAGAGUAGGUCGCUGCCAGGCCUGCAAAGCACAGCAAACAAAAGCUUCUUCACAUCCAAACAAAAAC